ACGGCGAGUGAAGCGGGAAGAGCUCAAUUUGAAAAUCGUCUACCUAAGCGGGUCGACGAGUUGUAGCCUAGAGACGUACUAUCAGCUGAAACCUGGGUAUAAGUUCUUUGGAAUGAGGCAUCAUAGAGGGUGAGAAUCCCGUAUAUGACCCAAAGCUUUCAGCGUACGAUGUAUGUUCAUCGAGUCGAGUUGUUUGGGAUUGCAGCUCUAAAUGGGUGGUAAGUUUCAUCUAAAGCUAAAUAAUGGCGAGAGACCGAUAGCGAACAAGUACCGUGAGGGAAAGAUGAAAAGAACUUUGAAAAGAGAGUUAAAAGUACUUGAAAUUGCUAAGAGGGAAGCGCUGACAACCAGUGCUUCACGCCGUUCAUCGUCGUCAGCCCCACUGGGCGGCGCGCGCAGUUGGUCAAACUCUGCGUCGUGUCGUCGAAAGGGAGGUUGGCGGUUUAGGACGGCGGGUGAGUCAAGAUCCGUUCGGUUUGCUGUGGGAGAAAGUGGUGAGAAAGGUAGGAGUCCUUCGGGACUCUGUUAUAGUCUCAUCACCCUACCUCGGCCUGGACGGAGGAAGGAAUAGUGCGCCGCUUGCGGCUUAGUCCCGCGCCUCUGAGGCCCCAACUGUGUUGAUAGCAAUGCUAUCCUCGCGGCGAAGGUGUCUUACUGGGUGCGGUGACUCUAUGUGCUAUCACGAU
rnacentral:rRNA from 1 species